GACGAACGCUGGCGGCGUGCCUAAUACAUGCAAGUAGAACGCUGAAGGAGGAGCUUGCUUCUCUGGAUGAGUUGCGAACGGGUGAGUAACGCGUAGGUAACCUGCCUGGUAGCGGGGGAUAACUAUUGGAAACGAUAGCUAAUACCGCAUAAUAUUAGAUGUUGCAUGACAUUUGCUUAAAAGGUGCAAUUGCAUCACUACCAGAUGGACCUGCGUUGUAUUAGCUAGUUGGUGAGGUAACGGCUCACCAAGGCAACGAUACAUAGCCGACCUGAGAGGGUGAUCGGCCACACUGGGACUGAGACACGGCCCAGAAUCCUACGGGAGGCAGCAGUAGGGAAUCUUCGGCAAUGGACGGAAGUCUGACCGAGCAACGCCGCGUGAGUGAAGAAGGUUUUCGGAUCGUAAAGCUCUGUUGUAAGAGAAGAACGAGUGUGAGAGUGGAAAGUUCACACUGUGACGGUAUCUUACCAGAAAGGGACGGCUAACUACGUG
rnacentral:rRNA from 1 species